rnacentral:pre_miRNA from 1 species
UUUGUACUCCCUCCGUUCCUAAAUACUUGUCUUUCUAGACAUUUCAAAUGACUACUACAUACGGAUGUAUGUAGACAUAUUUUAGAGUGUAGAUUCACUCAUUUUGCUCCGUAUGUAGUCACUUGUUGAAAUGCCUAGAAAGACAAGUAUUUAGGAACGGAGGGAGUAUAUA